rnacentral:rRNA from 1 species
AAUAGAUACCCAGGUAGUCCACGCCGUAAACGAUGAGUGCUAAGUGUUAGGGGUUCCGCCCCUUAGGUGCUGCAGCUAACGCAUUAAGCACUCCGCCUGGGGAGUACGGUCGCAAGACUGAAACUCAAAGGAAUUGACGGGGGCCCGCACAAGCGGUGGAGCAUGUGGUUUAAUUCGAAGCAACGCGAAGAACCUUACCAGGUCUUGACAUCCCAUUGACCACUAUGGAGACAUAGUUUUCCCUUCGGGGACAACGGUGACAGGUGGUGCAUGGUUGUCGUCAGCUCGUGUCGUGAGAUGUUGGGUUAAGUCCCGCAACGAGCGCAACCCUUGUUCUUAGUUGCCAUCAUUUAGUUGGGCACUCUAAGGAGACUGCCGGUGACAAACCGGAGGAAGGUGGGGAUGACGUCAAAUCAUCAUGCCCCUUAUGACCUGGGCUACACACGUGCUACAAUGGACGGUACAAACGGUUGCCAACCCGCGAGGGGGAGCUAAUCCGAUAAAACCGUUCUCAGUUCGGAUUGUAGGCUGCAACUCGCCUACA